CACUGCAAAUUUUUGGCAGUAGAUGGGGCCCUUACUAUAAUAAAAUUCCAUCGAGUUGGGAAGACUCUCGGAGGAGGUGCCCAGAUGCAGUACGUUGGAGCUGACUCCUGGAACAACAUCCUUACCUAACUCAGGCUCUUUGUUGCCUCCAUGUAACUUCUCAUGAGAAAAAACCAAAAGGGUGGGGAAGGGGAAACAAUCUUUUUAUACUUCUGUGCCCCAGCUUUUCACUGCCCUCUGUCCUAGUGCUUUCUUUUACUGUCUUUCUUUCCAAAAGGCUGCGAACCCACGGGCUCCCUGAUUCUGUUCCUGCUGACCACACUCAGGAAGAACACUCAGCCUGAGCUCAAGGAUGAGCGGGAAGGGGAACACACCCCUGAACAGGAUGGGGCAGAGCCAGAACCUCACCUUCUGCCAUGAUACUGUGAAUUCAACAUUUCACUCAAGCAAACCCACAUUUCCUGGCAGUGCUGGGCUGGCCUGGAAUCCAGACCUGGGCUGCUCAAGACAAGAAAAAGGGAACGGGAGUCCUGGGGGGAGAGAAUGCCUUGGCAAGCACCCCUAAAUCAUUUACCUUUUUGGAGAAACUACAGCAGGACCACAGCUACAGCCUGAUGUGCACUGAGCUGCACCUCUGGAGACUGAACAGCAAAUGCUUCGUGUCCUGAACUGAGCUGGAGAGCAAGGUGAGUUUGUGGACUUUCCUCCAGGGAGAUGCUAUCAGGACAAGCUGUGAAAUUGGAUGCCUGAAACAGACCAAGACGAUUUUCUAAACACUGGUACACAACAACACUGAAUAUGGACAAGUGCAUUUUGUGAUGUGGCACUGCUGAGCAUGAGCCUGCUGGGAUUCGGGAG